AAACAUGAGAGUUUGAUCCUGGCUCAGAAUGAACGCUGGCGGCGUGCCUAACACAUGCAAGUCGGAUGUGCCCGCAAGGGUGCAUGGCAGACGGGUGAGUAACGCGUGGAAAACCUACCUCUUUG
rnacentral:rRNA from 1 species